UGUUACAAAUUGAACAUAAUUAAAGCUUAAUGAUUAAUCACAAAAACAAUAUGUAAUUAUAUAUGUGUUUUCCGAUGGUCUUAGGCGACCCCUGUGAAAGUUAGGUGUGGCCAUGGGAUUUGCUCCAUGAAUAGUACACACACAUUUUAAAUUCUCUGGAAUUGGGUCGUUUGACCCCCAAAGGGGUCGCAUCCCACAGGUUGAGAACCGCAGCUCUAGAAGGAUCGUUCUGGUGUCAUUUUGGAUGAUCAUUUCCAGCGGGGAAAAUUUGGGAUUAUAGAACGACAACUGUUUGGAAACUGUAGGGUUAUAAUCCAGAAGAAAGGUGGCCUCUAGGCCAAACUAGAUAAGUGGGAAUAUGGAGGAGGGGGAAUGGGAAGUAUUUUGAAGGUGAGCUUCCCAGGACUCAUGCUUGAGUGUGGGGCAUGAGAAAGAGGGCAGCGGCCCGUAGUUCGGGGGUUACUGGCUCCAGUGCUGAUGCCGCUGGAGGUAAGAGCCCAGGUAGUGGCGGUGCAUUUGCCGGGGAGGCUGUGGUGACACCUCCACAGUGUCAGUACUUUCAGCAGCGGAGGCGCAUGUGUGCCUGGUGCUCCUACGUGUUUAUCACGAGUUGGCUGGGGGGCCGGGGGGGGGCGGUCCUGCUCCAGGCCACUGUCCUCACUGCAGGACCCAGGCCUGUAGGCUCGGUUUAGGCUGCCACACGUGUUGAGGCAGGAGAGAGAACAUGGCAGAUCACACACUGGCUCCUUCCGGCUUGUGCCCAGAAGUGAUGCACCCAACAUCCUUCUAACAUUUCCUUGUUAGCAGUCAAUCCCAUGGCUGCACCUAACUCUCAAGAGGGUUGAGAUCUGUCGCCUUUCCAUAUGGAGUCUCCCCAUGACUCCAAUGGUGGUGGUGGUGGUGGAGGUGUGGGAAGGCAGCAUGUUCAUCUGUGAUGUUGAACCUGAACUAUUUCAGGGAAAUUCAGUUCAGAAGAAGUUGGGAAUCUGGGCUUGUGUCUCAAGAGCAUUCAGGACUAGAGAAAUAGUAUGGGAAGGUUUCAAAGUAAUGGUCAUAAAACAAGCCACGGGAGUGGAUAACUUUGAUCAGGGAGGGAAUAGAGCCUGUUCUAAUAUGGUAAAAAGUCAAGGUUAAUAGUUUGUGGUUACAAAUAUGGCAACCCCGAGGCCAUAUUUUUUUUAGUAGCUUAUUAUAGACUUUUAAAUAAUUUUAAGUAACUGUUGGCAUAGGGGUGGAAUUAAUCACUUAAACGGCAUUUAGCUUUUUCAGACUCCCAAAUCGCUGACUCGUGUUUAAUCAUUUAAAAGGUGCCUUUAGAUUUUGCAGUAGGAUUUCAGCCAAUUUUCUGACCCGGCUGGGAAGAAAAAGUAUUGCUAAGAAUAGUCAUUGUAGUUUGAAUUGAAGACCAGUCAUAAGUUGAUUGAUACUUGGAUUGCUGAGUACUCAGAAAAUUAGAAUACCUUAUAAAAUCUUCUGACUGGCUGUGCUUCAGACAGAAACACAAGGUUAACCUUGCUGUAAAUGAUAUUCUUGUUACAGCUCCAGUUACUGACAGAGGGAGGUGGUUAAUAGCGCUUCUCCCCAUUGGCCAGUGUGUGUGCAUAAGGAGACAUGCUUUUUCUAGUCCCCUUUCUCUUAAAAGGUUCUUGCGCUUUUGCCUACCCAACCUCCACCAGGGUCUCACUUUGUAAACUUUUUACAUAGAGAUAUGUGAUUACCCAAAAUAACCUCUCCUCCCUUCAAGAUGAUGCACUUAUCAGGAAAAUCAAAAACAAACCAACCUGCUUGAGUGCGUGUCACCAUUAUUUCUUUGAUGGCGGUUUUGCAGCAUCACAAGAGCAGUGAUGGUGAACAUGACGAUGCCUGUCCGCACAAUCGGGGCCUUUGAUGGCUGUGCAGUGAAGCCUGCUGGGAUGAUGCACACAGCACCCGGCCCUCGAGGAGACCCUGCGGCCCCAUUCCCGUUGGGAGAUGGCUUGGUGACACAUCAGGGCGAGAUUUUUCUGUUUUCGUUCUGCACAUCAUUGAGUUUCAUCAUCCGUGUGUCUUGAAAAUUUGACUCCCACGUGUCCUUACCUGACAAUUACAGGAAUUGCAGGGGGAUUUGAGGAAGUGCAAUUUGAGGUGGAAGCAAUGAUCAUCAUUCCGGAAGCCUCAGACGAGUCAUCUGAUGAGCUCCCAGGUGUAGCGGCGAGUGGAAGACGGAAGCCCGGGGACCAUAUGCAUCGCCUCCCUCCUGGUUUUUUGUUUGCUCGUUUUUUGUUUUGGAAAUUGUUGUUCUUUGGGGUCCCAGUCAGACACGGGUCUCCACCCCAGUUCCCUCUUGACCUGCGUGUGAAUUUGGGAAAUGGAGGAGCCUUUUGGAAUGUGUGUCCUUCUGUGAGGAUCCCAGUUUCGUCUGGGCAAAGUCCCCAUCGGCCCCUCUUGUCCCUGCAGAAUCAAUAGCAGUGCCCUCGCUCAUGCUCCGAGGAGUCCUGGUUCGGGCAAUGCGUUAUAUGGACGUCCUGUUUGUAAGUGAAAUGGAGAUAGUGUGAAGGUGUAACUGUAUGCAAUAAUGUGGAAGUGAACAUCUCAGUUGCUUUGGUUCACAAAAUAAAUUUUUUAUUGCAGCAGGUAA